UGCUCAUCUUGAUCGUCACUAACCACGGCCCCAGACUUCGCCCAAGUACAGAUCAGCAUGCCGUGAACUGGGUCUCUGAUGUCCCAUUCGUUUGGAAGUGACCUUCAGCUCCUGGAUCUCGGAGUCUUCCUCCCGCGCUGCUCCGGUCCCGAAUGUCCCGUUUUCCCCGUCGCUCCCUCCCGCCUCACCUCCCACUGACCUCAAUCCGAGCGACAGAACGGCACGUGCAGCGAUCUUGGUCAGUGGAAGAAAACCUGCCCGGAGGGCAGCUGAGAAGGUUGGGGGGCCUCAGACAAAGGGCCGCCCCCUCCUCGCGACCGGGUCACCACAAGCUUGAGGCCAUAGAGAAGUCCAUGCGCCUCACCUCAUCACUGACAUCUGCCCGGCUCACAGCGUACUUGCCCACGCCCUGAUGUAUCCACUACCAUGACCACAAGCCGUGUACCGAUGCCGUAUGCCACUUCGUGGUAUGGACGCGCACCGCAAGCACCACCCUGCAUCUGAGAGGGGAGCGAUGUAGCGUCCCGUGAACGACCAUGACGCGCCACUACCGCCGUGCGCCAAGGUCGACGUAGCCCAGGAUCGAGGUUACGAUCUUAGAAGCUCCCCGGCGCAUCUCGCCGUUCGGGAUAUUGCAUCACCGUCGAUCAGGUGUCGUGGAGGGACACACCAUCUCCUCUACACAUUCAAGCUUCAUCCGAAUUCACAAGUAAUAUGAGGAUAUCCGCCUACAUAUACGUGAAUGCAGGGUUUUAUUCUCCCACU